ACGGAGGGGGCUAGCGUUAUUCGGAAUUACUGGGCGUAAAGGGCGCGUAGGCGGCUCGACGUGUCCAAGGUGAAAUCCCUCGGCUCAACUGAGGAACUGCCUUGGAAACUGUCGAGCUUGAGGCCGGGAGGGGGUAGCGGAAUUCCCAGUGUAGCGGUGAAAUGCGUAGAUAUUGGGAGGAACACCAGUGGCGAAGGCGGCUACCUGGACCGGUUCUGACGCUGAUGCGCGAAGGCGUAGGUAGCAAACAGGA
rnacentral:rRNA from 1 species